rnacentral:rRNA from 1 species
CCCUUAGAUGUCCUGGGCCGCACGCGCGCUACACUGAAAUGUUCAACAAGCCUCCUAGUUCGACAGGAUUUGGGAAAUCUUUGAACGCAUGUCGUGAUAGGGAUAGAUCAUUGCAAUUAUUGAUCUUGAACGAGGAAUUCCUAGUAAACGCGAGUCAUCAGCUCGCAUUGAUUACGUCCCUGCCCUUUGUACACACCGCCCGUCGCACCUACCGAUUGAAUGUUUCGGUGAAGAUUCCGGAUAGGACUUUUUUGAUUUAUUUCAAUUUUGUCUUAAAAGCUAUCUAAACCUCAACAUUUAGAGGAAGGUGAAGUCGUAACA